UUCAUAAAGCCCUGUGAUGUAUGCCACCAGAGUACCCAAAAGGGCCCCAAACUAGACAUGGGGAGUUGGGGAAGGCUUUUGGGAGAAGGCGACAUUUCAGCAGAGACCUGAAAGGAGAAACUGGAGACAGUUUAAUAGACACAACCGCUUCAGAUGGGCAGUGAAAAAGACGAUGGAAAGGCCAGGACACCACGGAAGUUCUGAAGGGGUAGUGGGAACCGAUUGAUCUGGAGCCAGAAGGAAGAGUGUAUGUGAUCAUCGAUCUCUCAGGGUCGUCGGGUGAAGUGAAAAUACCUAACUCUGCAUUCUGUGAAAGGGAGAGAGUUGAAAUGAGGCACAGCUGAAGUUUCACCACUCCAUUAUUCUGCCAUCAAGCAUCCCUUCAGCUCCCAUCUCUCAAAUGCUGCAGCCCCAUCAAUGGAAAAAAAUACAUUCAUGGGAAUUGCACAAAGUUUACAACACAUGCAAAUUCCAAGGAGCUCAGAGAGAGGUGUGGGGGUGAGAUGGUGUGACUACACCCCCUUCUUCUAGGAUGCGCCGAAGGAUUCUUUUUCUUGCUCAUAUGCUGUUAGAAAGCCUGGGCGUUUACGUCUGCUGGAGCUGGAGCUAAUGUGAUUUCUAACUGUCUAAUAAAAUUCCACUGCUUGCAUGUCCUGUGCAGUUCACUAUAGUGGAAUCUGGCCAGUGUGUGUUUUGGCUAAACCAGCCAUCCUAACCCCAGAUGUAAGGGGGUCAGGCUAGAUGACAGUUAAGGUCAUUUCCG
rnacentral:lncRNA from 1 species